rnacentral:lncRNA from 1 species
GCAUCCGGUAGCCUGAAGGGCCAGUCUCACUUCCACCAUGUCCCCGCAACAGCACGGAGUGUAUUUUCAGGCAGCCGGUGAGUAGGGCUACAAGCCUCCAGCUGAGAAAGCAAAGCCAACUCACAGUUCCUUGGCUGUCCCGCGGAGCCUGCGGUGGCAAACCACCUCCUUCAGAAGGGUCUGUGGAUUCUCCUGGCUUUUCUGGUAUGUUCCUGUGGUAGUUCUUGGAGCAGAAGUUCAUGAUGCCAGUCUUCAUAGGCGGCUCUGUCUGUCUGAGUGGGAGCUGCAGUCCUUGCCGGAGUCCCACUGCUCCCGAACACAUGCCCUGAGGCAGCGUGCCUGCACAACCAGCUUCCAUCUGAACGCUUCAGACAUGCGCUGCAUUCAGGAACAAAAGAAGAAUUUGUAGUUCACAGCCACAUGAGAUAGUCAAGUGUUAAAAGGGAAAAAGAGCUAUCGAAGGCAGGAAGCAAAAUGCCUUCAGAGAUAAAAGGUUAUUCGUGGCUGAGUGAAAAAAAUGGACAAUGAGCAGAAAAUAAUUUAUACUACAAAGUCUUUAGACGUCAUUUACUUGGUAAGACAUUAUAGAAAUAUUUUUGGCCGUUUUGUUUGCUUUAAAAUCCACUUAACUACAAAGUGACUUCACAGUUUAAAAAUGACAUAACAUAAUCUAUAUGGUACUACACUGAUAAUAUCAUCUAAUCUUUCAUUAUGCUGUGACCAAGUCUUCUGUUAAAAGUCUAAU